rnacentral:rRNA from 1 species
GACAGAGGAUGCAAGCGUUGUCCGGAUUUAUUGGGCGUAAAGAGCUCGUAGGCGGUCAGUCGCGUCGGAUGUGAAACCCGGAGCUUAACUCCGGGCCUGCAUUCGAUACGGGCUGACUAGAGUGUUGUAGGGGAGACUGGAACUCCUGGUGUAGCGGUGAAAUGCGCAGAUAUCAGGAAGAACACCGGUGGCGAAGGCGGGUCUCUGGGCAACUACUGACGCUGAGGAGCGAAAGCGUGGGGAGCAAACAGG